UAGGUGCAUGAGGCCUCACCCGGAU
rnacentral:miRNA from 1 species